GUUGUAUACAUUAAUUGAUUUUUAUCUGCAAUUAAUUACUUUUUAGUAUUAUCUCUUGUAACUUAAAGGUAUAUAAAUUUUAUUUUAAAUAUAUUUAAUUAGCUUAUAAAUAGGAAAGAAAUUCUUUAUUAUUAACUAAAUGAUGGCUUGAUAAUAACUUUUGAAUCAGUAUUUCAGAAGUUAUUAACAAUUUAAAGUAAUGAUCUGAGGUAAAAUGUGAAUGCUGCUAAUUUUAUCAUUAGAAAUUUCACAGCUGCCACUCCUCUUUCACAUAUAAAAAUGUUACUAACUUUCGAAGUACUGGUAUAUUGUAUUUAUUUUGAGAGUAACUGAGUGGUUUAUGAUAAGCGGAUCACUUGUAUACCAUUAACAAAACAAUAAUUGAGGCAAUGAAAUGGGAAAGUACUAAGUCAAACAAAAAUCAUUUUUUUAUGGAAAACAUAGUAAACACAUCUUAUAAUCUGAUUCAGAUGUAUCAAGUUUUGUUUUAUAAACUGAUCUUAUCACAUAACAAAGAAGUCAGUAUAGUUGAAAAAUGUUAAUAAUUAAUUAUACCUACACUUGAACAAGGUAUAGAACGAUUAAAACCAUAAACUGAAUGGGUAUCUGCUAUUCGAAUCAUGCCACCAGCAUAAGUUGUCCAAAAUAAUAAUAUAAGAGCAACUACUACAGAAUUAAU